CCUACGGGAGGCAGCAGUGGGGGAUAUUGCACAAUGGGGGAAACCCUGAUGCAGCGACGCCGCGUGUGGGAAGACGUUCCUCUGGAUUGUAAACCACUUUCCCCAGGGACGAAAAUGACGGUACCUGACUAAGAAGCCCCCGCGAACUACGUGCCAGCAGCCGCGGUAAUACGUAGGGGGCAAGCGUUUUCCGGAUUUUCUGGGUGUAAAGGGGGCGUAGGCGGUGCAGCAAGUCAGAAGUGAAAGCCCGGGGCUCAACUCCGGGACUGCUCUUGAAACUGUUGAACGAGAUUGCAGGAGAGGUAAGUGGAAUUCCUAGUGUAGCGGUGAAAUGCGUAGAUAUUAGGAGGAACACCAGUGGCGAAGGCGGCCUACUGGACUGUAAAUGACGCGGAGGCUCGAAAGCGUGGGGAGCAAACAGGAUUAGAUACCCCAGUAGUC
rnacentral:rRNA from 1 species